UCCUGCGCUGCCUACUGGUUAGGGCUUCAGGCUUGUAACCGAAGGGUUGCCAGUUCGAUCCCCGACCAGUGGGAA
rnacentral:tRNA from 1 species